UGGUGGGUAGUUUGACUGGGGCGGUCUCCUCCUAAAGAGUAACGGAGGAGCACGAAGGUUGGCUAAUCCUGGUCGGACAUCAGGAGGUUAGUGCAAUGGCAUAAGCCAGCUUGACUGCGAGCGUGACGGCGCGAGCAGGUGCGAAAGCAGGUCAUAGUGAUCCGGUGGUUCUGAAUGGAAGGGCCAUCGCUCAACGGAUAAAAGGUACUCCGGGGAUAACAGGCUGAUACCGCCCAAGAGUUCAUAUCGACGGCGGUGUUUGGCACCUCGAUGUCGGCUCAUCACAUCCUGGGGCUGAAGUAGGUCCCAAGGGUAUGGCUGUUCGCCAUUUAAAGUGGUACGCGAGCUGGGUUUAGAACGUCGUGAGACAGUUCGGUCCCUAUCUGCCGUGGGCGCUGGAGAACUGAGGGGGGCUGCUCCUAGUACGAGAGGACCGGAGUGGACGCAUCACUGGUGUUCGGGUUGUCAUGCCAAUGGCACUGCCCGGUAGCUAAAUGCGGAAGAGAUAAGUGCUGAAAGCAUCUAAGCACGAAACUUGCCCCGAGAUGAGUUCUCCCUGACUCCUUGAGAGUCCUGAAGGAACGUUGAAGACGACGACGUUGAUAGGCCGGGUGUGUAAGCGCAGCG
rnacentral:rRNA from 1 species